rnacentral:misc_RNA from 1 species
GCAAACUUGGUCAUUUAGAGGAAGUAAAAGUCGUAACAAGGUUUCCGUAGGUGAACCUGCGGAAGGAUCAUCACAGGAUCUUAUACAUCUACACACUGUGAACAGUAUGCUUCAGCAGAGCCGAGUUGGCGGGAAGGGGAUGGGGCGGCGCUUCCGGGUGGCCGUCCCUGACGCGUGUCUCCCGCGGCAGUCGCCGCGGUGAGCGCCCGCCGCUCGUCUGCGUUUACAAUAAACUCUUAUACACUCUACACUGAUACAUUUUACCAUAACCAAUACAACUUUCAACAAUGGAUCUCUUGGUUCUCGCAUCGAUGAAGAACGCAGC